rnacentral:tmRNA from 1 species
GGGGGCGACCUGGUUUCGACGGAGGUCGCGAAGCCCGCGGUGCAUGCCGAGGUGCAGUGCCCCUCGUUAAUCACACUGCAAAACCAAAUAGUUGCCAACGACGACAACUACGCACUCGCCGCUUAAAACCCGGUAGGGUGCCGUCUGACCGGGGCCGUGCCUGUGCGCCCGGACUCCAGGCGUCAUCGCUCACAGGAUCGCGAUAUCACCCGCCCGGGGCCGAAUCGCUAAAACUAUCCGGGCUCGCCGUCUGUCUUCCCUGCCCGUCGGGUAGCAGCCGGUUAAAAUAAUUGACUGGGACAAGCAUGUAGAGCCAACGGUAGAGGAUUUUCGGACGCGGGUUCGAUUCCCGCCGCCUCCACCA